GUGGCCUCUCACUUCCUUAAAGCUCCCUCCCCGCACCCUUCUUACUCUCUUUUUUCACAUUUGGACCACUUCCACCUUUCUGGGUCCAUCACAGCCACUCAUCGGCACUCCUUCCCAAGUCAGCCAAUGCCAUGUUAUUUAUGGUGUAGUUUAUCUUAUUUGAGUAUGAUCCAGGUCCUUUCUGUCCUUGAGCCCUUAUUUGUCACUUGUCCUAAUGACAAGUCCCUGCUGAGGUGUAUUAAUAGCCGAUGACUCAUUCACAGCGCCAUUCAACAGUACAGCCACAGGAGCCACUCAAGCAGGAAGACGGGAACACACUGACUUCACUGGUGGUGCCCUCAGAUAAGAGCUAACCCAAGAGAACGGAGUGCUGCUUGCUACUGUUCAUCUCAUCGGAGAAAGGAGGAAGGAACAAGAAAACAAGAAGAGUGAGGCUGAUGCUCCGAGAAUGGAAAGCGCAAAGGAAAGGAGAAAAGACUUUGGACCUCUUCCAGAUGAUGAGGAUCUGAUAUGACAGGGGAAGACCCCACUGAAGAUCUUGGCUACAGAAAGGAAAGAUUCGAAGAAAUCAAACAGGACAGGUAACUUGAUUUGCUGAUUCUUUGACAUGGGAACAGCACAAUAACUGGCUUAGAUGUAAAAAUGUCUCUAGCCAAAACUUCAGCUAAAAUUAGACAAUAAAUCUUGUUGAGUUAUGGGAUCCUUAAGAUUCAUCGUGCCAUCCUCCACUUGCAUGAAUGAAGAUUUAUUAUGAUUGGUUAUUGAUAAAAUUAACUCAUAAAAAGGACAGUUGUCUUUCACUUGCUCAAACAAGGAGCAAAAAUUUCAGCCUUCAUUGACCUCUGCAUCUUGCACCAUCCAUACAAAUAUCUUUAUAGUACUAGAAUUUUGAUUGUGAGAUUCAUAUAUUGCAGAAUGUACAACUCUGACAAGAUUCAUCCUCAGGGACGCUGAAAUGACCUGCUGUUCCAGCCCCCUGCCUCCUGAAGCUAUUUCCAGAGAAUUGCUUCCAAAACAGUUUCAUGAUUCCAGAUGGCUUUGCUUCAUCCAACCUUUCAGACAGAUCCAAUCAAAACUUCAGUCAAAUCCUGAGCUUUCUAAACAUACAGAGACUGGAUGCCAGAUGCUAAAGCUAGCUUUCUUAAGUGUAACCAAUUCUUCUAAUUUUCCUAUGCCUUCCCACAUCUUUAAAGAAUUUUUCAUUGCCCCUAUUCAGCAGGAAUAAUCCACGGAGAAUCAUCAGUCCCAUUUCUUGAGUUUGGGUGUCUGGUUUUGGUUAUUAUAUGAAUUAUAGUUAGGUUGUCAUUUUAAGGGAUAAUUUGGAAUGGUCAUAAUUUUGAACAGGAAGGAAAUAGGAUGGAUUAUUAAAUUUAUUCUUGAACAAAGCAUUCUGAAGCUAUAAUCUUACAUUGCUAUAAAUCUUUAUAAUUUAUACAAAAUUGAAGUUAAAACUUCUUAUGUUGGUACAGAAUUUAUAUAUUUAUAUAGAAUUAAAGUUUUCACUGAUAUAAGUUUCUUAUAUUGAUAUAAAAUUUGAAAUUAAAAUUGCUACUCUUAGAUAGUGCCUAUGCAACUAACUUAAGAAUACAAGGUUUAGACCCAGUCCUUCUAAUAACUGCUAUUACAAACUGUUUAGGAUGAUUAAGUAAUGUAAGUUAAGUGUCAGAGAGUAAACUCAUGGUUAUGUUAGAUUCUGAUUUAAUUAUAAUAAAGUGUUUUCAAUAUUACUCAAAUAGAAAAAGCCAAGAGUAGUUAAGAUUUGACAGUUCAGAUAUACCUUACAUAGAUAGUCUUCAGAAACAUUACAAAUUUACAGAAUAUGACAUUUAAUGUUAUUAUUAAAGAACACUUUACAAUGAGACAUGUCUGCUACUGAGAGCUUCCCCAAUCCUGUUCAAAGAAGAAUUAGAGCAUCAAAACCUCCAUAUAGAGUUGCUCCAGUUAUGGCAAGGUAGCCACUGGACAAAAAUUGCUCAAUUCAUCUACAGACCAAAAAAUGCUGUCCAGGAGAGACCUCAUAGUGCAGGGUAGUUGACAGCUUAGCUCUGCCAAGACAGAGCAAACUAGUCCUUCACAUUUCCUGUUUCAUUUCAAGGUCCGUCAGAUGAUUCUGGGCCAGAAGACCGAGGAUAGAUGCUCCAACAUUAUCAGAAAUUAGGGAACUGACCAAGUAGUCAGCUGUCUCGGCAGUUUUUUUUUAAGUUUGGAAGCUUUGUUUUUGUGCUUCCUACAUAUUCAGAUAAUAAUUCACUCUCAGAUUUCUAGCAGGAUUGAAGACUAGUUAGUCUUAUAAUUAAACUUAAGUUGUUUAGCAUUGAGGAAGAUGAUAUAGAUUUCAAAGGAUGGUUUUCAGAUGGUAAUGCAAGCUAAAAUCAGAACAUAACUCAAGUACAGAAUUGUAAGCUCUUUAAGUUAGGAUAGAUGGUAGAGUGCUUUAUUUAAUUGACAAAUUGACGGACUAGAUGUUAAUUACAUAUCAUACUUCGUAAUUUACAUAAUUGUUAUGGUUAUGCUCAAUUUGUAUCUAAGAGAAGAGCCUUUAUAAAAACAAAAAUUGGACAGAAAAGGUGAGAUGUUGGGGAUUGGUUCUAAUUUAUUUCUGCUUCCAAAAAGCUGUGCUUCCAAACCUGAGAGUACCUGACCUCAGUUUGGCUUUGACUAAUAAUAAAGAAUUGCUAUACAGCCAGCUAGGCAGGGAGACAGGGUGGGACUUUUAGAUUGUGUAUGCAAGAGACCAAGGGGGUGGGGGUAGGAAGAGGAAGACGUGCUAUGAGGGGAACUAGAGGGAUUAGAUGUAAAAUUGGGUCCAAGGUAGCAGAGAUGAAAUGUUGAUUUAGCAAGUUGACUCAGGAAACUUGGAGGGGAGAACGUAUGCUAGCUAUGGGAGGAUUAGAAAUGCCCAACCAUUGAGUUAAUCAAGACAUAUCAAAAUUGGUCUGUGUGUAUGUGUGUGUAUGUGUGGUGCGCGUGCAUGUGUGCAUGUGUGUGUGCAUAUGCGUGUGGGUGUGCAUGUGUGUCUCCUUCAUGAAUCCAGAGAGCUCUUGGGUGGGUGCAGUGUGCUUCUGACCUGCCAAAGCAGUUUAAAUAAUUUACUGCUACAACCAGACAUGGUUCAAAGGAUGUUGGAUGUGCUUAUUAGUCAGAACAUGUGUGAAGGUUUGAGUGAGUAAAUAGCAAAUGUAAAGACCCAGAGUGCUUUGCAAUAAAAUAAUAAUAAUAAUAAUAAUAAUAAUAAUAAUAAUAAUAAUAGGAAGAAGAAGAAGAAGAAGAAGAAGAAGAAGAAGAAGAAGAAGAAGAAGAAGAAGAAGAAGAAGAAGAAGAAUUUUAGUUACCAUUAGCUACUCCUUUAUAAAGCAAUUAUAGCUGGGACCCCCAAACAUCCAAAAUCUUAAAUGAUCCAUAUUCUAAAAGUUUUUGAGUGUUCAUAGAACACUACAAGUGAAAAUGAGAAGGAUCACUAUGUAGGUUCAUUGAAAACAAUGUUUAUGAACAUUUUUCAAGCUGUACAUUGAGGUUUUAAAUGUGAAAUACCCUCCCUGGGUUCAUACCUUUAAAUGCUUGGUCCUCAGUUGGCAGCUCUAUUUUGGGAGGUCAUGAAACCUUUGAGAAUCCUGGUCAACUGAGUAAUAGUAAGUCACUUGGGGAACAGGGGUUUCCUGUAUCUUAAGGCUUAUUGAUAGCCCUGUUUUCUGCUUUAUCUCUGUUUCAUGGUCCAAGGAGGUGUGAGCAAGCCACUUUAUCUGCCUAUUGCCACAGCCUUGAACCACUCCCUCCAUGACAUCCUAUCCACUGUCUUAGUUAGGGUUUGCAUUGCUGUGAACAGACACCGUGACCAAGGCAACACAUAAAGGCAUCUAUUUAAUUGGGGCUGGCUUACAGUUUCAGAGGUUCAGUCCAUUAUCAUCAUAGUGGAAAGCAUGGCAGGGUGCAGGUAGACGUGGUGCUGCAGAAGGAGUUGAGAGUUCUACACCUAGAUCCAAAGGCAGACAGGAGGAGGGUCUCUCUUCCUCACUGGGAGAAGCUUAAGCAUAUGACCCCAAAGCCUCCUGCCACAGUGACAGACUUCCUCCAAAAGGCCAUACCUACUCCAACAAGGCCACACCUAAUAGUUUUACUUCCCAUGGACCUAGUAUAUUCAAACCAUCACACCCACCAAAAUAACUCCUUGUUCUCUUGUCAUAUAUUUAUUGGGUCACAGUGAUAAGAAAACAAAUGGAAAAAGUUGUGUUGAAAAGUGAGGUUGGUUCUAUGACUACAUGACUAGGUGUUGUUCCUCAGAGGCUUCUGGGACUAGAUUUUAAAAUCUUAAGAGGAUGUGGAAAAGUUUAGAGUUAUGGACCAAUGAAACCCUGGAAUACUGUGGGCGGAGCCUAAUGAGUCAUUCUACCAGGGGUUCAUAAGCUCAGGCUGCUGGUAAACAUGCAGAGAGUGAAGGUCACGCUCAUGAGGUUUUAGAGGGGAAGGAAUCUACUCGGGAAACAGACAUAUUAUAUUCUGGUGAAGAAUACGGCUACGUUCUGAGCACAUUCUGAAAGCCUGCCUAAGACUGAAGCUACAAGUAAUGGACUCAACUGCUUAUUUCAGUUGGUGUUCAGACUUGAAUGAGAAAAUUUUCCCGUAGAUUUUGGUCUUUUGACACUUAGCCACCAGCUAGUGGCUGCAUGUGGGAAAGUUGUAGAACCUUUAGGAAGUAGAACUUCACUGAAAAAUAUGUCACUGGGGGUGGGCCUUGAGGCUUUAUAGUCCAAUCCUACUUCCUGCUCAUGUUCUGCUUCCUAUGUAUGCAACCAGGCAGCCUUCUUCUCUGGCUACCAUGCCUUCCCUAGGGCCUGCUGCAAUGGCUUCCCUGCUGUCUCUUUCCUGAUGUAAUGGACUGUAUCCCUCUGAAUUGUGAGUCAAACUAAGCCUUAUCUUACUUUGUUUUGGUCAGGGUAUUUUAUCACAGCAAUGAGGAAGUAACUAAGACAGCUGGAUGAGCAACAGGGUCUCCCAGGGAUGGAGUAUUUCGCGUUCUGAAAUAAACGUGAAACUUGAUGGUUAGAGAUGAGAUAUUAAGGUUCAAAGUAAUUUUUCUGAAUCUCCAGUUGACAUGGGUAGAUUUAGUAUAGUUUAUCUCCAUCACCAACCUGAUUAGAUUUACAACUACAUAGUUAGGCACAUGACAGAUGUGUUGGGAGAAUAAGAAUGAUGACGGACAUUUCCAAAGAGGGAAGUAAGGCGUUCCCUGAAUGUGGGUGGCACUGUUCCCUGGGCUGAGGUCCUACACUAAAUAAAAGGUGGUGAAUGAGGAGGUGGCUGUGGUCUGAUAGCCCACUCCUUUAUUUGUCUUCCGACAUGCUGAGAGGCAAGCAAGUGAGCUCUCACUACUACAGGUAGUGUCUGGUCCUGCACUCACACCUUCUCUGCCACAUGUUGCUUCCCCUGAUCCAUGGAUCGAAUUACAGCUGUUCUCCCUGACAUUGCUAUACCAGGCGCUCUGUCAGCAACAAGGGAAGCUACUAAGGCACUGUCCAUAAAGCCUGUCAGCAGCUUCAUGCCUGGACUUGGGUCUCGUCUCCAAGAAAUCUCACUGUGUAUCUGUGACUAUUCUGGAUUCCAAAUGAAUAAGAAACCAAACAAAAACAAAAACAAAACCACUUCUGGUCCCAAGCUGAAAUUAGGCAUGGUCACCCAUAAACGAGGUACGUAAAACAUUCCUUCUUUCUAGCAAUCAUUCGUAUACAAACUAAAACAUAAUCUGUGUCUUGCUUACAAGCAUUUCAAAUAUUCAAAAAUGUUAUUUUGUGACUCUGUGUGUGUAUGUGUGUGGUGUAGUGUAUGUCUAUGUUUAUAUGUGUCCUUGUUUAUAUGUGUGUUCAUGUUUAUAGGUAUGUGUCUAUGUUUAUAUGUGUGUCCAUGUUUAUAUGUGUGCCUGUUCAUAUGUGUGUUCAUGUUUAUAGGUGUGUGUCCAUGUUUAUAUGUGUGUGUCCUUGUUUAUAUGUGUGUCUGUUUAUAUGUGUGUGUCCCUGUUUAUAUGUAUGCCUGUUUAUAUGUGUGUCCAUGUUUACAUGUGUGUGUCCAUGUUGUUUAUAUGUGUGUCCAUGUUUAUAGGUGUGUCUAUGUCUGUGAAGCUGUCUGAGUAUGCACAUACAUGUAGAAGCCAGGGUUCAAUUUUGGGUGUCUUUUCAAUCUUUUAGAAGAUAGCUUCCCAUUGAACCUGGCCCCUACCAACCAGCUAUUCUAGAUGACUGGCAAUCCUUGGGUAUCCUCCUGUCUCCUCUUCUCCAGUACCACAAUAAUGGACAUCCAAGGAGCUCUUUAUGUGAACUCAGGGGACGUGAACUCAGGUUCUCAUGCUCUUAUUUUUUUUUGUCGGAGCUGGGGACCGAACCCAGGGUCUUGCGCUUCCUAGGCAAGCGCUCUACCACUGAGCUAAAUCCCCAACCCCUUCUCAUGCUCUUAUAAGUAACUACCCCAUGAGGCAAAUAACCAUCAUCUUGGGGAGUUCAGAGCUAUGCCCCUUUGCAAAAGAGCAUCACAGACCUAGGGGGGGGAAGACUGGUGGAGGAUCUCCAUCUAUAGGGUUGUGGAGAAGCCCUCAUGCCUCCUAGGUAAAGGCUUAAAAGGGGAAGGAAGCAUACCCAAACUCCUGUAGGUAAUCCCUCCCUUAUGCUCUUAAGGAAGCCCAAAGAACUCUUUGGUUUCCCAAAAUGAAUUUUGGUAGAAUGGUGCUUCAAUUUGUUGUUGGAACCUUGGGAGAAGAGGCAGACAUUGUUUACGACUCCUCCUGGCAAGGAGUUUUAGCACCAUAUGCUUGCACAACAAAAUUUCACCAUUUAAGCAAAAAAUAACAGUUGUUAAAGUUCUUAAGCCCUACUAGGAGGAAGCACAAGUUGCCAUCAGUGACCUUUGGGAAAGAAUGUGUCAAUAUAAAUUAAGUGUCAUGUGCAUACUUCUAUCUGUUCAUCUACUUUUAAGAUUUAUCUGGAAUCUCGAAGGAGAAAUCGAUAGGGUCAGGCACACAUCUCGGGACACACUCUCUGUUGGAAAGGGACACUGCGCAAAGUCAUUUGAGGGCAAUUUCACAAGGCUUAAAUGUCGACUGACCAAGAGCAAACUUAGAGUGGGGAGGGGCACAGAGGUACUAGACUUUGAUUAGCAGCAGAGAGGUGCCAGUACUCAAGGCCUGCAAGGGCAAGGAGUAAUUUGUUUCUAGAACUUGCCAUUUGCACAGGGCUCCUCCAAGUCUCUGACUCCCCAUGUGGUCAGCCCAGGGGAAGAAAUGACCCAGUCUCAUCCCUCCAGCUCUGCUUGUAUUGGCUCCUUCCAAUCUUUUGACUCCAACCACAUCCAGAGGCAAAGGAGCUUCUGACAAAAUCCAGGUGGUGGACAGGGUGGACAGCGGCUCUGGAGAGACAAAUGCAAACUUUCCAGCACACUUCAUUAUUUUUAAGAGCAAAAAUUUAAAAAAUGGAAGACUACACAAAUGUACAAAUGUUGGGAAGUUAGCCAAUAGAGUAUGGUACAUUUUUCAGGGGGAUGUCACACAGCCAUCGCAAUGCUGCUUUUGAAGAAAUGAUAACACAGAAACAUGUUUUCUAUAUAAUCUCAGCUGAAGACAAUAGGGUAGAAAAUUAUAUAUGACUUCAAUUAUGGAGAAAGGAUGCAUAUGACCCACUGGGGAAAUAGAUGAGAAGAAACAGGCUCAAAAUUAAUUUGGUAAUUUACCAAAAUUAAUUGGGAUAAUUGAUUUGGUCAUUAGGACUUCAUUCCCUUUCGUCCCUGCUUCCUUCCUCCUCUUCUACUUCCCUCUCCUUUUCCUCUUCCUCCUUCUCCUCUUAUUUCACACAAACCAUAUACAAGGUUGCUAACACAGCAUGACUGUAAACAAUAAGGCUUUUACUUUCAGUAGCUUAUAGUCUACUGGGUCAGAAAAAUUAAUUUCUAACUGAUUACAACAAAAUUCAAUGGGAGAAACCUAUUUUUUUUUAUGUCAGCUGGUAGAUAUAUUCAGGGAAACCUUCUAGAGCGUGUAGAACUGAUAGUGUGCCCUGAGAGAGGAGAAAUUAUUUUUUUAGGUAGAUAAAUAGCAGAGGAGAACCCUGGAAAGAAGACACCAGAAGCCAAAACACCGUGCUGCUAAGUGCACAACAGCCCAGCAUGGUAGCAAUUGGAUGGGUCUAGAGCAGUCAUUGGCCAAAGUGAAGGAACUUUCUACAAUACACACAGCCUCUAUGUCCCACCUUGCUGCAGAGCCCAAGAAAAUUGUUCAGGAGAAGCUUCCCAGACAUUUCCAGAUGUCUAAGUCAUGGCUCCCAGCUAUAAACCUAAACCAGCCAACUGUCAAAGACUAUGUCAAACCCUGGGAGGCAGAUGCCCAGCAAUCUGUAGCCACCUCCCCCUGAGAUGCUGCCUGGCAACUGCUGAUAACUUGGCCACUGUGAGUGGAAGUGAACCUCUGGUAUUGAGGAGGAGAUGGAUGUGGGUAUGGUGUAGACAAGUUGAAGAUCUAUUCUGUGGUCUUCUAAGGACCACAGCAAGCCUGCCACUAACAUAAGCUAGUGUAGUAUUUCCAAACUCAGUUUUUCAGAACCAUGGGCUGUAUAGAAUCUGUGGGUACUGUAACACAGACAAGCACACAAACCCAGACAUGUGCUUACACUCCUCAAACUUAAAAAGUUAGACUGAUUCUUUACUAGAAGAUAUCCCAGAUUCUUUCAAUAUCUUCUGCAUGGGCGAGUCUUCUCUGGGCAUUAUACAGCUCAGGGCUCCCAGAUAUAUCUAACCAAAUUACUCUUCUUCCUCCUCCUUCUCCUCCUCCUCUAUUUUAUCUCUUCCUCUUCUUUCUUCUCCUCCUCAAACUCCUCCUCUUCCUAUCAUCCUCUGCCAUCUUUUGGGGGAAAAAUCAUGUUUUAGGUCUGGUGCUUGCCUCAGAAAGAAAAGAACUCCUCAAUUCAUCUAUCUCUUCACACUUAGAGCAGCAAAAAUAAGGACUACUUGUCCAAUGACAUACAAACAUGACCUUUAUGGAAGCCAGCAAAGCACACAGGCACUGUGCAUGUUGAUGCAUGUAUGCCACAUGUGUAAUCGCUGUGUACAUCUACAUGAGGGCGUGCAAGUGUGAGCAUAGGAAAGACACACAGAGAAGGGGAAAGAGUAGAAGAAGGAUGCUGUGAUGGUUUAGGUGAAAAUGACCCCCUUCUAAGGGAGUGGCCUUAGACGGUGUGGCCUUGUUGGAAUAAGUAUGGCUUUGAUAAAGAAAGUAUAUCACUACUGGGCGGGUUUAGCCAGGUCUAGUGGCAUUUUCUUCCUGCUGCCAGCAAAUCCAGAUAUAGAACUCUCUGGAUUCAUUCUCCAGCACCAUGUCUGCCUACACACUGCCAUGCUUCCCACUAUUGAUGAUAACGGACUGAACCUCUGAAACUGUAAGCCACCCCCAGUGAAAUGUUUUUCUCUAUAAGAGUUGUUAUGAUCAUGGUGUCUCUUCACAGAAUAGAAGCCUAAGUUGGAAAUGUCCUUGGCUUGGGCACCUCAUACACGGUAUCCCUUGGUAACAACAUCAUCUCAACAAUCAAGCAGAAUUACACUACUUUAAGUGGACUUGGAUUAGGUGGUCUGAUUUAUUUUGAUUUCAAUGAAAUCUCUGCCUCGUGUCCUCCAGCCACCCCUCUGAGAUGAGCUGCUACAGCUCACCAUGCUUAUGCCAGACCCAAUUUUGAAUGUCUGAAGGUAACUGGCUUUUCUCUGUGAUCGUUUCAAUUUUUUUCUUUAAAGUCUUUGAUAAGGAGUGUCCCCCAUGUAAAGAUCAUCAUUUUGGCUGGAGAAAGGAUAAUUAACAGUUGUUGAUCAUCUCCAUAAGCCAUCCUUGGGCUUAGCAUUAUAAAUGUUUGACCUCAUUUUGUUCUUCCAGAAAACCCAAUAGAUUGUUUUCCUUUCCACAAAUGAUGGCGUCUGGUAACAGCCUUUGAACACUGGCCUGCAGGAGCAGGCUCGGUCUGGCCUUUGUAACAUUUACUGAAUGGAAGAAUAAAGGAGCAGUGAACAAACAUGAGGAAGCCGAGGCUAAGUAACUGACUCAGCAUUGCCCAAUUAAAUUCUCAAGCCUCUCUGUCUCUGUGUCUGUCCCUCUGUCUCUCUGUUGCUCGGUCUCUGGCUCAGAAUAAUCCAGCUCCAUUCUCAAGUUUCUCUGUCUUUCUCUGUCUCUCUGUCUCUGUCUCUCUGUCUCUCUGUCUCUUCCUCCUCCUCCUCCCUCUCUAUGUCUCUUGCUCAGUAUCACCCAACUUGAUUCUGAAGUCUCCCCCCUUCCCCCCCUACUUCCAUACAAGGAGACACAACCCACCUUCCCUCCCUUCUUCCCUCCCUUAUCCCUCCUUCUAUCCCUCCCUUCUUUCCUCUCUUAUCCCUCCUUCCAUCCCUCCCUUCUUCCCUCUCUCUAUCUCUCUAUCCUUCUUAACCUCCUUCUCUCAUUCCCUGUAUCCUUCCCUGCCUCCCUUCUCCCUCUUGUUCGCCCCAUUCCUGUAUCAUUCUCCUUUUCCCCCUCCUCUUCUUAUUCCCUGACUCUAUUUCCUCCUCCCCCUCUCCCUCCCUUCCUCUCUUCCUUUCCUGCAGUAUGCCACCUGUUAGGCAGCCCCUCCACCACUCUCACAACCCUAGCCCACGGAUCACACUCAUUGGCACCCCAAGGUGCAAGUAAUCUAAUCCCGUGCCCUUAGAAACUAACAACAUGUGUGGUACAUCCUCUGACCCAGUGCCGUGACCUUGGACAGCAUGGAGGUCAUUCACUCAAAGGCUCUCAUUGUCUAACGAGGACAGUGACCCAAGAAAUGUGACCCAAACUGCUGAGGCAGUAGAAGGCAGACUUAAGACCACUUCCAACUGUGCAGACUCUCACACUGGUUACUAGUUACGAGUUACUAGUUCCUAGCUACUUGGAGUGUUUGAAAGCAGCUGAGGAAAGAAGCAGUUUGAAAGCAGUUUCCUCUGGAGUGGCGCCUCGCUGGUGCUCACGUGGCAGGGCUGGAGGUACCUGGUCCAGGGAGCAGAGACAGAGAUGAAUGCUUAGCUCCUCCUCCUUUUUAAUCUGUCUGGGAUGCUCCUGUUCCUGGAUUACUGCUGCCCAUAUUUUGGGGUGGAUCUUUCUUUCUCAGUUAAACCUUUCUGGAAAUGUCUUCAUAGACACACCCAGAGAUGCAUGUCCACGGAAAUUCUAAAUCCAAUCAAGUUGACAUUUAAGAUUAACCAUCAUAAUACUUAUGGAGUCAGCUGUUGAGACGAGAGUCUGAAAUACAGCACUGGCCAAAUGUAUGCUAUGAUUAUACCACGAGAGAAUUAAAACCCAGAGGCAUCCACUUCAUCUGCCCAACUUUGUUCUAUAAAAGCUAUUUUUAUUAAAAGAAGAACUCAAGCUGCCUGCUAAUGUCUACAUCAUACUCACAAACUUCUGGGAUUUCUGCCCAUGGUGAAGUCCAAGUUACCGGUUUCUCAGUGAGUUAGGAUAGGAAAGUGAAACCACUGGCUUACCAGUUCAGUGUAGCGUUCCUGGCUGCCAUCGAUCCUUCCUCCUUAUAGCCCACGUCUUUAUAUUCCUGUCACCAAGCCUGGGCUCUUUACAUACUUCCUCCAAAAGACAGCACACACCACCACGCCUGCAGGACAUUGUGGGCUGUGGUUGCUCCUUUCUUAGCUUCAUCCACCACCAUGUCUCUGGCUCCCGGCGACUCACAUUGGGCAAGCGUUAACUUGGUGAGAGUUAGUAAUCUCCUUCUACCUUGUCAGCUGAGAGACCAUUUUUGUUGUGCAUGUGUGCUAGUUAGUUAUUUUGUCCACGUGACAUAAGCUCUAGUCACCUGGGAGGAGGACAUGGGUUGAAAAGGCCUCUAGCAGACUGGCCUGCUGACUAUCUGUGGGACAUUUUCUUUUGCUUGUUGAUUGACAUAACCCAAGGCCAGCAGACGGUCUUGAGUUGUGUGAAGGGUAACAAGCUGUGGAGAGCAGACCUCGGUGAGCAGCAUUCCUCUAUGAUCUUUGAUUCAGUUUCUGUCUCUCAAUUCCUGCCUUGACCUUCCCUUCAUGAAGAACUGAAGCUGUAAGAUGAGCCAGACCCUUGCCUCCCCAACUUGCUUUUGUUCAUGAUGUUUAUCCCAAUCCAAAGCAAACUAGGACAGAGGCAUGCUGGCCAGGGUUCCCUGUCCACACCAAGUCCCUUCACAGUGACUCAGUAAUGUGAGUGAAUGCAGGGGAUUGGGGAUGGUUAAGGGAGAGAGAGAGAGAGAGAGAGAGAGAGAGAGAGAGAGAGAGAGAGAGAGCAUAGUUAGAGGCAAUGGCAUCUGGGAGAGUCCAGAGCAGACAUGUCCAGACUUGAGUUGGGUCAUGUGAGGAGAUGGGGGAGGGGAAAGAAGAGGGGAGAGAGAGGAACCAGUUGCAGCAGCCAGGGGGUCAAAAGGUACAAAGAGAAUGGGUAACCAAAAUGGUUGGAUAACAUAGGAAAGGUAGCCCAGCCCUCUGGGCUGGAGAAUCAGGAUAGGGGUGAGAUAUGCCCGCCAGGAGGGCCCCUUAACUGUGGGACUGAAGGAUGCUGGGAGAACCUGGCAACUAGUAUCUGCUUUGAUAUGUUGAAUAGGCACCUCAGCCAUCUGUCCGGGUUUGAACCCUAACAUUGAACGUGAUAAUCACUCUUCCACAGAGGUAAUCUCUGUCCAUGGUCCCCAUCUCUGGAAGGGAUAGCCUCUCAUCUCCCCUUUCUAGGGGAGGAGAAGCCUGGGUUAGACCAUGCCUGUAUAGUUCAUCCAGCACAUAACAGAUAGGAACCAGAAACUAGAUUGCCUUACCUUGAGUUUAGUGUUCUUCCAGCUAUCAAAUGGGUUACCCUCCUUCCCUUCUCAGUGACUACUUAACAGUGCAUAGUCUUCCUGGCCUAUAAGUACAGUCAGCAUGAAGCUUGUUAGUUAAAAUGUUAUGGUAGGAGGCUGGAGAGAUGGCUCAGAGGUUAAGCACACUGGCCGCUCUUCCAGAGGUCCUGAGUUCAUUUCCAGCAACCACAUGGUGGCUCACAACCAUCUGUAAUAGGAUCUGAUGCCCUCUACUGGUGUGUCUGCAGACAGCUACAGUAUACACAAAAUACAUGUACAUAAAAUAAAUAAAUUAAUCUUUAAAAAAUGUUAUUGUUACACAUAUGAUACUUCAUUUAAAAAAGCAACACUAUCCAGUAGUAAUUGCUAAUAUUUAUUGAUUAUUGGCAAUGGACUGGUUGGUCAUAUCCACUCUAUAUAUAUUAAUUGUGCAUAUAAUUUAAUACUUGCUAUCCAAUUGUCAUCUCCAUGUAGUAGAUGAAACACUGGAGGUCAGACAAGUUAAAUAACUUCCCCUAGGUGUUGGUAUUCUGUCUAAGCUCCAACCCCACAGCUACCUGGCAGUAGCCAAGUAUGCUCCGCCCCACAGUUGCCUAGCAACAGCCAGCUGUGCCUGACUAUAUAAGGGGCUGCUUGCCCACUCCUUUCCCUCUUACUUCCCUCUUACUCUUUGUUCUUCUCUGUUCUUGCCUUCUUCCUCCUUCCCCCUUUCCACCAUGCGCCCAUGGCUGACCUUUCCUCUCCUCUUCUUCUCUCAUUAAACCUCUCCACGUGGAACCAUGUUGUCUUGGCGUCUUCUGUCCCGGCGUGGGCCGAGAUUUAAACCCUAACACUAGGUCACCCAGCCACUGUGCAAAAGGACUUUGAGCAAAGACCAUCUGCCUUCUCGGUCGUCUUCUUUAUCCCUUUCUUGUUGUGUUUUACAAUACAGGAUUAGCUGUUCUCUCAGUCAAUUACUAAACAGAAGCUGCUGGUAAACAGAGCUCAGAUAAGGUAAGUCACUAACAGCAUCAAUGUGUGACUCAGAGAUAACAAAAGUCAACUAAAGGAGUGCAGUUGUUGGGUCCUCUGCUGGUCUGGAAGUCACCCUUUAUCCAUUCUCUCUGGGAACACUUAGUCUGUCUCUGAAUGGGACCCUGUGCUUAUGAGAUGUCAAAGGUGCGAACUAACCAUGGCCAAGUCACUAGCCUAGAGAGGCUCUGAGUUUAAAUGAAGAGCGUGAUGGUUGCUACAGCAGGGAUGUGACAGGAAAAUGCUGUGCCGGGGGUGUGGGGGAAGCCUGCACAGGAGUCAAAGGUCAUAGGCAAGGACAUAGAGAUUCAGCAGUGUAGGCAUAAUGUUUUGAACGCGGUAUAAAACUUACCCUGGAGUUAUUCAAAUACUGAAUUCUCUGCCCUCAUGUCAUGUUUCAGUCCAGACGGGGCAUUGUAA